CACCCCCCGGAGGAGGCCAACCCGUGACCGAUUCUGGCUCAGCGUCCUGAUGAGCUGCUUUGUUACGUGUUGUCCAAAUUUUACGCGGGUUUUUUAGGUUUACCCCCCGCACUCUAGUGUUUUGAAAAGUGCGUCCUAAAAUAGGUGCGCUGUCGCUUUAAGAUCCCUUAGCUAGUCUGCUUCGUAUUGAUCAAUCCACCAUUUUCCAACACAUAGCACACUCAGCGGCAGUGGUAACGCAGCGACGGCGGCAGCAGAAAGCCCUACCUGGAGACGCCAGGACCUGGGGCAGUCAUGGCAGCCAACAUGUAUCGGGUUGGAGAUUAUGUGUACUUUGAAAACUCCUCCAGCAACCCCUUGCUCAUCAGGCGAAUAGAAGAACUGAACAAGACAGCGAAUGGGAAUGUGGAGGCCAAGGUGGUGUGUUUCUACAGGCGCAGAGACAUCUCCAGUACACUGAUUGCCUUGGCUGACAAACACGCACGAGAGAUGGAGGAGGAGAUGGAGAACCCGGAGAUCCUGGACCUGCCCGAGAAGCAAAAGCACCAGCUCCGCCACCGAGAGCUCUUCCUCUCUCGCCAGCUGGAGUCACUGCCUGCCACACACAUCAGGGGAAAGUGUUGUGUCACACUCCUAAAUGAGACUGAGGCGCUUAAAUCCUACUUGGAACGGGAGGAUGCCUUCUUCUACUCCCUGGUGUAUGAUCCCCAGCAGAAGACCCUGCUGGCUGAUAAAGGGGAGAUCCGCGUUGGAACCAAGUAUCAGGCGGACAUCACUGACCUCCUGGCUGAGGGGGAAGAGGAUGGCAGAGACCUGACCAAACUGGAAGAGAAGGUCUGGGACCCGAGCAGUUUGCUCACAGAGAAACAGAUUGACCAGUUUUUAGUGGUGGCACGGUCUGUCGGUACGUUCGCGAGAGCCCUGGACUGCAGCAGUUCCGUGCGGCAACCCAGCCUCCACAUGAGCGCGGCGGCCGCCUCCAGAGACAUCACACUGUUCCAUGCCAUGGACACGCUGCACAAGAACGGCUACGACAUGACGCGGGCCAUCGCGGCGCUGGUGCCCCAGGGCGGGCCCGUGCUCUGCCGGGACGAGAUGGAAGAGUGGAGCGCCUCGGAGGCCAACCUCUUCGAGGAGGCGCUGGAAAAAUACGGCAAAGACUUCGCCGACAUCCAGCAGGACUUUCUGCCGUGGAAGUCCUUGACCAGUAUUAUCGAGUAUUACUACAUGUGGAAGACCACAGACAGAUAUGUCCAACAGAAACGGUUAAAAGCAGCCGAGGCCGAGAGCAAACUGAAGCAGGUCUACAUCCCCAACUAUAACAAGCCCAACCCUAACCAGCUGAGCUCCAACAGCAUGAAGCUGUCUGGCCUGGUGAAUGGCGGCGGGGCAGCAGGGGCUCCAACAGCAGCAGCAGCAGCAACAGCAGUAGCAGCAGCAGCAGCAGCGGCGGCAGCAGCGGCGGCAGCAGCGGCGGCAGCAGUGGGGGGGGUUCCGGCCGUGGCACCCGGGCCCGGGGGACCAGCGGCAGCAGCAGCAGCAGCAGCAGCAACAGCGGCGGUGGUCCCGGGUCAGCCAGCAGUGCUGGGCCGCGCCUGCGAGAGCUGCUACAGUGAGUACCAGCCAAACAGUGCCACCACCUCGUAUCAGUGGUACUCGUGGGGUCCUCCCAACAUGCAGUGUCGGCUGUGCGCCUCCUGCUGGACCUACUGGAAGAAGUACGGCGGUCUGAAGAUGCCCACACGCCUGGACGGGGAGAGGCCGGGACCCAACCGCAACAACCUGAGUGGCCAUAACAUACCGGUCAGGCACGGCGGCAGCCCCAAGUUUGCGGUGAAGACGAGGCAGGCCUUCUACCUGCACGCCACCCACCUGACCCGCGCCGCCCGCCGCGUCUGCCAGGACCUGCUGCGCUCCCACUUCCUGGGCCGCCACCCCUACAACCCCGUCAACGCGGCCGCCAUCAAGGCUGAGUGUGUGGUACGGUUGCCAGAAAUUCCCAAAAAGCUGCAGCCACUCAAACCGUUGGUGAGGAAGCCUCUGGAAUCGGUGGUUCGAUACCUGGAGGCCCACCCGUGUCCCCCCAAGCCAGAGGGCCAGCGCACUGCCACCAUCACCACCAGCAGCAUGACGCCCAUCAAGUCCUCGCCCAUCCUCAACAACGGCUCACCCACCAUCCUGGGCAAGCGCAACUACGAGCAGCACAACGGCCUGGAGGGCACCAAACCCAAAGCGCUCACCCCUCAGUGGGACAUCAUGUCCAAGCGUGUUUGUGAGCCGGGCAGGACCGCCCCCCCUCUGCAGGACCAGGUUCAUGAGCUCGACUGACGACCCCCCGCCCCUCCCCUCCCCAACCCCCUCACCCUUCAAGGUGACCCCUGCACCAUACUGCACAGAGACAAGGCCUCAGACAGGAGGCGGCUGAGGGAAUAUGACGUCCACAGUGUUUGACCACCAGCCAGCCUGCACUGUCCACUCUGCCAGUCACUGAGCCCGAGCCUUGCAAGAACCGACCAAUCGUCUCACCGGGUUAUAGGCUUCAACCUAUCUGAGGGCUCGGCUGUCUGUACAGGACUGUUUAAUCACCAUUAUUAUUAUUGUUGUUAUUAUUGUUGUUGUUGUUAUUAUUAUUAUUAUUAUUAUUAUUAUGACAAUGUCUGCCAUUGUAAUAUUAUUCUUGUUCUUUUUUUUAUCAGCUGUAAUCAUAUGCUUAUCAGUUUAUUGUUGAAAAAAAAAGAAAUUGAAGGAAUGCAAAAAAUACAAAAAAACUAAAAAAAAAAAACAUGAAGCCCAUUGAGGCCCGAGAGAACUCCAGGGCCACCUGCAUCAGUUUUGCCCUGUUUUUUUUCGGUUCUUAUUUUUUUCCCUGUUUUCCGAACUGUAAAAAUGACAAAAACAUGAAAAAGAGAGGGGAUGUUUUUUUGUAUGUUUGUUUGACUGGAUGAAUUCCCCCCUCCCCUGUUCUGCUUGCAAUUUUUGAUUUUUGUUUUUAUUUUAUUUUUUUCUGUUUUGUUUGUUUUUUAAAGGAAAAAAAAAAGUCCUCUAAAUCCCCUCUGCACGCUGAUGGAUUUAACUUAUUGAGAAAGACUGAAACGUGCUCUUUUUCUACCUUUUCAUAAAUAAUGCAUCUUCUGCUUCGAUGAUGUCAUUAAAAACAAGACUAUUUGGUUG